ACUUUUAGAAAUUCUAUUUCAAUAAAUUUGGACCACAAUACUAAAACCAUAACUUAGGUCCAUAAAUUUUUUUGAUAAAAAUGAUAUUUUGAGACUAGAUCAUGAAAACUUUUAAAAACUGCGAGAACCCUAAACUCUAUCCACUCUUCCUCUCCAGCCGCCUCUCUCUCUCCUCUCACCUUUCUCCUUUCUCCCUUCUCUCUCCUCUUCCUCUCCAGCUGCCUCUCUCUCCUCUCCCUCUCCCUUCUCUCUCCCCUAACCGGCGAAGCUCCAGCACCAGCAACAACCCUUAUUUCUUCGUCAAAACGACCCCAAACCAGCAGCAGCUGAAACCAUCAGCUCAAUACCCAUUUUCCGGCGACCUCCAACAACUCCAAACCCGCCUCCACAACUACCACUCCCCUCCAAACACCCCCUACCACCUCAUCAGAUCGGGUCUUCAAUUUCGCUGCCGGACCCGCCACUCUCCCGAAAAAUGUCAUCCAACCCCCUCUGUGUAGUAGUUCUCGGAAAGAAAGAGAGAGAAGCGGCUAGAGAGGAAGAGGAAGAGUGAUUUAAGUUUUCAUCUCCUGGUAUUAUGGACUAAGUUAUGGACUUAGUAUUGUGAUUUAAAAUUAUUAUAAUAGAAUUUUUAAAAAUAUUUUUUGUAUUUGACUAAAUUUUAUUCUGUGCUAAAUUCACAUAAAUAUUAACAAAUUUAAUAAGUAAAUGAAAUUUUAAAAUAAUAUAAUCAUCAUAACUAAUAAUAUGUAAAAUGCAAUUUAAAAUAAUUUUGGUUCACGAUAUUAAGUCCAUAUCUAAGCUCAUAACUAUUUUGGUAUGAAUAAUAUUUUGUGGCCACGGGAUGAAAUUUUUUUUGGAGAGAACCCUAAAACGCUGUUCUUCACCCCUCAUUUGAGCGGCAUCUCUCUCUUCUCCGAAGGAAUCCGCCGCCCUCUCUCUGCUCACCACUUUAUGGUGAAGGCCGCCAAAGGCGGCGACGUCUCCUCUCUCCCCUAACCGCCUCUCCUCCCUCCUCCCUUCUUUCUCCACUCACCUUUCCUUCCCCUUCAUCUCUCCAUUUUUUUCCGGCGAGACAGCCGCCCCCUUUCCUCUCUCCUCUCUUUCCGUUGCCCCUCUCCCGUCGUCCCCCUCCUCCCUCUUCUCUUCUCCCUUCCCUCUCCUUGCAGCCCCUUCUCUGCCUUCCUUUUAUCCUUUCUCUCCUCCCCUCGCCUCUUAUCCUCUCUCCAACCAAACAGCCACCACACCUCCCUUUUCCUCCAUAAAAAAACCAACAAAACAGACCCCAACAACCACCGUUUCUCCACCAAAAAAACCUCUAUACCACCCAACACCACCAGAACUAUAGAUUUCUGCCUCAUUAGAUAGACCAAGAAACAACCACCAUAACCCCUUCCUUUUACUCCCUUUUCCCGGUGAAAAGUUCACUAAAAACAGCCCCAUCCCCCUUCCCCUUUCACGUUUUUCUUCCCUCUCUUUUACAGGUGUUUUAGCUCGACGGUGAACGACAACCAGUCCCGAGCUUCAACGAAACCCAAAUCUAACUAGAAGCUCUCGAAAUCUGGGAAGGCUCUCACACCGCCGGUGCAAUCCGCUAACAAGAUGAGCUUCACGCUCCGGCCGAAACCUCAUUCCCCCGCAGGUACAUCCAAUUAUAAAAUUGGAACGUUCCGCGCAAGUCAGUCAUUUCUACCGGCUCCGGCUAACUUCCUUUAGGAAGGAAAGCAAGUCCCAUCAAUUGAGCCCUUGAUAGAAUAAGGGUUGCUUUCAAACCUGAAAGAGGUCCAGAUCUGAUUUGAGAAGUGCUAAUUCGGUUCGAAUAGACUUCAUUCAAGAAUGCCACCGCCCUGGGAAUCAAUAAGAAAACAAGUGCUAAGUAUUAGGGGUGCGAUCGUCGACCUUUGACCGGCCUCUGACCUGCUUUUAAUUACUAAAAAAUAAGUUUGUAUUGAAUUAUUUUUGGUUACGAUUUAAAAAAAAAAUUAAACUAACGCAAGGUAAUCAGGUUGAAAAUAUACACAUUUCAAAGGUA